CGAAGAAACUUAGACCCUGGAACUUUACGUGUUUGUAAUGGUUCGAGUUUUUAUGGUAAGGAUAUUGUAGUACAGGAUGAUAUUGGUAGGAAGAGGAGUAGGGGAGAGAAUGCUAGGAGUAAUGAGGUUGAUGUGAUCGGUAGGAAUGGGGACGACUUCAGUGAGCGGAUGAGGAAUAGGUUAGAUGUGUUUGAGUUUGACGGAUAUGAUGGGAAUGAUGGAGAAAUGAUGAGGAGGAAGCACUUUGAUGAAGGUGGGAUGGAAGGGAGGAGGUUUUUUGGGUCAAUGAUGG
rnacentral:misc_RNA from 1 species